AUUGAACGCUGGCGGCAGGCCUAACACAUGCAAGUCGAACGGUAACAGGAAGCAGCUUGCUGCUUUGCUGACGAGUGGCGGACGGGUGAGUAAUGUCUGGGAAACUGCCCGAUGGAGGGGGAUAACUACUGGAAACGGUAGCUAAUACCGCAUAACGUCGCAAGACCAAAGAGGGGGACCUUAGGGCCUCUUGCCAUCGGAUGUGCCCAGAUGGGAUUAGCUAGUAGGUGGGGUAACGGCUCACCUAGGCGACGAUCCCUAGCUGGUCUGAGAGGAUGACCAGCCACACUGGAACUGAGACACGGUCCAGACUCCUACGGGAGGCAGCAGUGGGGAAUGUUGCACAAUGGGCGCAAGCCUGAUGCAGCCAUGCCGCGUGUAUGAAGAAGGCCUUCGGGUUGUAAAGUACUUUCAGCGGGGAGGAAGGGAGUAAAGUUAAUACCUUUGCUCAUUGACGUUACCCGCAGAAGAAGCACCGGCUAACUCCGUG
rnacentral:rRNA from 1 species